UACGUAGGGGGCAAGCGUUGUCCGGAAUCAUUGGGCGUAAAGAGCGUGUAGGCGGCCAGAUAAGUCCGCUGUGAAAUCUCGAGGCUCAACCUCGAGCUGUCGGUGGAAACUGUCUGGCUAGAGUCCGGAAGAGGAGAAUGGAAUUCCUGGUGUAGCGGUGAAAUGCGCAGAUAUCAGGAAGAACACCCGUGGCGAAGGCGGCUCUCUGGGACGGUACUGACGCUGAGACGCGAAAGCGUGGGGAGCAAACAGG
rnacentral:rRNA from 1 species